CCCAAAGUAGCAAAAAAAGGCAAAGCCACAAGCACCAGUCAGUUCUAAAGAGCCAACUGAAACACAAAGUUAUAAUUGCUAGCUUGUGUGAAGACAUGCUUUUCUCCUUCCAUUCUUGUUUACAGUUACCUGAACCAAUGUCACUUUCAGAUGCGCAGGACAAUGCUGACUAUAGAUUAUUUCAGAAAAUACUCAAAUUGUGUCGUUUGCCAUUUCCCUUUUGCACUACAUAAAGGAAAUCCCCGCUGCCCGCCUAUUGCCUCAUUCAGGAACAUUGUUCUGAUUACUUUCAGCAUAGAUUAAUUUUAACUGAUAUAGAAUAGUUGAAUGAAAAUCAAACAUGGUUAAAUGAAAUCAAAC
rnacentral:lncRNA from 1 species